GCCAGGGUGGCGGAAAGGCUACGCAAUGGACUGCAGAUCCAUUAAUCCUGGUUCGAUUCCAGGCUCUGGCU
rnacentral:tRNA from 2 species